rnacentral:rRNA from 1 species
AACGAACGCUGGCGGCAGGCCUAACACAUGCAAGUCGAACGCUCCGCAAGGGGAGUGGCGCGCGGGUGAGUAACACGUGGGAACCUACCUUCUGGUACGGAACAACCAAGGGAAACUUUGGCUAAGACCGUAUACGACCUCCGGGUGAAAGAUUGAUCGCCGGAAGAGGGGCCCGCGUCCGAUUAGGUAGUUGGUGAGGUAACGGCUCACCAAGCCUUCGAUCGGUAGCUGGUCUGAGAGGAUGACCAGCCACACUGGGACUGAGACACGGCCCAGACUCCUACGGAGGCAGCAGUGGGGAAUAUUGGACAAUGGGCGCAAGCCUGAUCCAGCCAUGCCGCGUGAGUGAUGAAGGCC